rnacentral:tRNA from 1 species
GGCCAGUUAGCUCAGUGGUCUGAGCGCGAUGCUGACAACAAUGACAACACUGAGGUUGCGGGAUCGAUUCCCGCUUGGUCC